CAGGGAUUUCUCUGAUUCUGCCUCUUCUGGCUGUGCUGUGGUUUGCUUCUAGUUCUACCAGACUCCAGGCCCUGAAACAGAAGUGGCAGAAUGUGUCAUCUUGGCUGCCCCAUGGUUGGAGAGAGGAAGUUGGCUGGUUUUCUAUGGCCUAGCUCAUGGAACUGUGAGAACUGUGGAGCUAAAUCUUCAUGGAGUCUGGAUCUGGUAAUUCAAAUUAGAGAGUAUUCCUCUGCAAGAGCCUGGAAUGCCCAAUAGGCCAUGUGACAGCAAUUUAUCACUUUAGUGGGACUAAUAAUCUCUGUGAAUUAAAACAAAUCCAAAGUUGGUGUG